AGUUGAGCUUGUCUUUUAGCUGGCUAGCCUGUACAUAGUUAACGUUAGUUGAGCUAACUAGAUAAUCUUCUUGAAUCGUUUUGUUAACUAGCAACGUUUGAUGUCUUGUGAGAGAGCUUUCAUGUCUCAUAAUCAAAAUAGUUAGUUUUUGUUUACAUUCAGGCCAGCAGAUGAAACGUUAGUCUGCCUUCUCCCGAAAGUUUUCAGCCAUUAAUGUUAGUUUCGCCCACAACUGGCUCAUGUGAACUACAAUCCCGACGCUGUUUUAACGUUAUGGCAUUUGAAACAUAUGUCCCUUUGAUCAGCGAGAAAGACUCCUUCAAAUAAAAAAAGACACACUUACUGUAGCAGUUAUACACAGAUCCAUGUCUGGCUGGCCCAAUCCCAUCUUCCAGCUGCUCCCCAGAGCACAUUUGCUCAUCACCGCAGGGCUGACAUUCUAGAGCAGACCGAUAAGGUUUGUGGGGACCAGGAGACCCUGAGACGGUUCAUACCGCCUCCUCAGGCCCCGGGUCCAAGGCAGACGGAUUGUUGCCACCCACCUGCACCCGAACGACGGUGGGGUCCCUCUCCUGCCUCAUCUCCUCGUGCUAAGGGUCGACAGCAGGGAGGGGCACAUCGUGAGGUGAAGCAACAGCCUGUUUUUCCCACGUGGGUCUUCCCUGGUUUUUGCAGAGGUACUGGGUAAUUUAUCCCUCACCGGGUUCCUAUUCCUCCAAGCGGGUCACGACAUAAGCUCUCCCAGGGCUCCGUAGCCUUGUUGGCUUGGCUGAGCUUAUGGCUUGUCUUUGUGACAGGUGUGAUGGUGUCCACCGUCACCGCCAUUGGGGCGUGCCUGGGGGACCCAUGCGCUCGGGGUGCCAGAGGAGAGGCUGGCCCCGGCAGGUCAUCUGACACACCCUUCCUCUGCUUCUUCUCCCGGUCUCCUUCUCUGGGCUCUGGGACGUCUAGCGUCUCUACGCGCAGCGCACGUACAUGGCAUCCUAAAUGUGGCAGCAGAUAUGCUCUUGAAGGAGGGCCCGCCACCUUGGGACUGGAGCCUACAUCCCCAGGUGGUGCAGCACCUGUGGGACAAAUUUGGGAGGGUGCAAGUGGACCUGUUUUCCUCCUUGGACAAUGCACACUGCUACCUGUGGUACUCCAUGUCGGAGCCACCAGGGCCUCUGGGCUUGGAUGCUCUGGCUCACGAUUGGCCAGGGCUGGAGCUUACGCAUUCCCCCCUUUUCCCCUGAUCCAGGCUGUGCUGGACAGGACCAGGAUGGCAGAGCAUCGUCUGCUGCUGGUGGCCCCAUACUGGCCCAGACAACCCUGGUUCAGCCUUCUCCUGUCCCUGUUGUCUGGGACACCUUGGCAACUUCCCUUGAAACCGGACCUGCUGUCUCAGGUCAGGGGAACUCUGUGGCAUCCGAGGCCGCAACGCCUCAGUCUGUGGGCUUGGCCACUGAACGGCACCAAUGGUCCAUGUUAGGACUACAGGAGGGUGUAAUGAACACCAUGCAGAGCGCAAGGGCGCUGGUUACAACUGCGGCAUACCAGUUGCUCUGGCGGUUGGCUCUUGGUGUACUGGUAUUGAGGUUGUGCCCGAGUAAUGCUGGGUGCAGUAAUGUCCUCCAAUACCUGUAGUCUCGCUUCGAUGAGGGUUUGGCAGCCUCUACCCUGAGAGGGUAUCUGGUCGCUAUAUCUGCCUGCCAUGUGGAGUGGAUGGAGAAGCCAUAGGGGUGCCAUCCCUUGGUCUCCAGGUUUAUGAAAGGGGUUUGUCCCGUGCGUCCAGCUAGGACCCGCUCAAUGGCGAGCUGGGAUCUGGAUGUGGUCUUGGCAGAUUUGACAAAGCCGCCUUUCGAACAGUUGGAGUCUGCCUCCCUGAAACACCUCUCUAUGAAGGUGGAUUUCUUGGUAGCGAUUAUUUCCAUGAAGAGGGUGGGUGAGCUCCAUGCUCUUUCAGUAAGUUUUCUCUCCGCCCCAACCCUUCAUUCCUCCUGAAGGUUCUGUCAGACAGACAUGUGAACAUCUCUUAUUAUCCUGUCUGCUUACGACCCCCGCCUCCCCGGCAGUGGCGGGGGGGUCUGGGCCUCCCUCCGGCAUGCUGUGCCUUGUGAGGGCACUGGCUGCCUAUGGGGAGCGGACACGGUCAGUGAGAACAACAGACCAGCUCUUUGUCUCACUGGAUCAUGGACACAAUUACGACAGCAUACUGCCUGGCAGGCCAGUGCUCGGAUCUGUGGUGGCACAUUCAACAUGAGAUGUGGCUGCGUCCUGGAUUCUACUGAGAGGAGUGCCCCUCGCUGAUAUCUGUGCUGCGGCCAGCUGGGCUUCCUCUUGCACCUUUGCAAGAUAUCGGGUAAAUAUGGCACCUCCCUCUGCGGUUGGUUCAGCGGUCCUGGGCUUCGCCUCCCCUUCCGGGGACUGUGCCGGGACCCACCCUUCCACAUUGACGGCCCCAACGUCUUGGUCCCGCUCUGGGACUUUGACUCUGGCUUGCCAGGUCCUUCUAGCACCGACUAAUCUGGUACUGGUAUACCAACAUAUUGGAGUGAUCCAAUAUAGUGAAACAUAAUGAAGGUUACGUAUGUAACAACGGUUAUGUGACCUAUAUGGAUCACUCCAAUAUGUUGGUAUACCAGUACCAGAUUAGUGAGUUUGUGUUUAUACAGGACCUCCCGCCCGCCCCCACCUACCAUCAAUCAAUCAAUCAUGUCAAUGCGGAGCUAUACUGAGCCCACAGCAUUGUUUAAGCAGUUUUGGGAGGCGGUGGGCACACAGGACAUUGGUACAGAGCUCAAUUUGGCCUCUGCGUGCCUCUGGAGGCUCUGCAAUUGCGUCACACCCUCCUUACGGAGUCUCUGACCACAUUUUCAUUUUCGGAUCAAGCAUAAAUUGGCUCUUACGCUUAUGCACAGGUUUUCUGAGCACGCUAGAUAGCUAAUUAGCAUAUGUGGCCGCUGCUUGUCUGUUUACUGUAAACAAGCGCUGUAACAUGGAGAUAUGAUCGUGUGGGAAAACUAACACUAUCAAGGUGUGUAUCAAUUUAACCUUUUUGUUUUUUCAAAAUAAUUUCUCACUGAUAUGAAAGAUAAGUUCCUUAUGCUUCCAAAACCAAACCACAAGUGACGCGUGUUAAUGGUAAGAUUAACGCUUCGAACACACCGACUGUGUUAGGGCAUCACUGCUGCUUAACAUUUUGUGCACCUAGGCAACUAUACUGAUGCAGGUACCUUUUGCAAAUGGUCGCAUGCAGUUGGACACAUGGAGGAGAGAAUAAUUUUCGCAGUAUCCUCAAAACCGUGUCUUUUUGACACAACUGCUGACAGCUACAGGGACAUAAACACAAAAAAUGCUGCUUGGAGACAAGUGUCCACGAUAGUAGGAUUGCCAGAAGAAGACUGUAGGAGGAAGUGGAGAGGACUCAGGGACAGGUAUCAGAGAGAGAGAAGGGCAGAGAAAGAGAAGAUGUCUGGGUCAGCAGCUUCAGGCCAGCAGCCUUGGCGCUUGUGCCACAUUCUUUCUUUUCUGGAUCCAUUUAUUGUGCCUCGGGCAAUGAGUGGCAAUUUUACAGCCAGACCCUUUACUACGUCAUCCACAAGUGUUGUCGCCACCGGUGCAUCAAGACCCUCAACGUCACCUACAAAUGCGACCAUCACCUCCACCGGUGGAGUGAGACCCUCUACAACAUCAUCCAUGAGUAUGACCACCACCGUUGCAGCCAUGGAAGAUGAUGAAAUGGAGGAAGCACCUCUGGAUCUAGGACCACCUGAGAUUAUUAUGAACCUCACGGAAGUGACCACUGAGGACCUCGUUGAACAGGAUGUGGCCGUGGAGAGAAACAGAGAAACGAAGAGGAACAACGUCACACCAGGCGUCAUCGGAGGUACCAGCCCCCAGAUCCACUCAACUAAUUUCAGCAGAGGCUCCUCCAAGCCGUCGAGCGGGAUGCAGCCCAACCUGAUGAUCACAGGAAGGAGACCCUCUUUGCCAUGAGCCUGGUGCCAACACUGAAGAGGCUGCCUCAGCAAAGAAAAGCAGCAGUCAAGGUUAAAAUGUAUCAGCUGCUUUUCGAAGCCGAGUUCAAUGAGAUGGAGUCAAUUUAACAGACAAGCUCACAGGAAGGACAGGAAGAGAAGAGGAGUUGUCUGGUUGUUGUUUUGACCUCCCUCAUUGUACCUUUCUUUUCACACACGUCAGUUGUGUUUAAAUUCAGUCAAUUCAUUUGUUUAUAAAGUCUUAGGAUUUAUAGCAUUUAUUAUUAGUGUUACAUAGAUUUCUGAAUUGAAACUCAUACAGAGUCUUCACAGAUGCUCUUGGUCUCUUACACAGAUGCUCUUGGUCUCUUACAAGACUAAAGGUCAAUAUAUUUCUUUAAUUUAAAACCACUUGAAAACCAGGGUGUUGAAACUUCACAAAAAGUUAUGUUCCAUCGACUGGUCCGUGACAUCCAGGGGCCAUUUGUUUGUUUAGCUGUGUUAUGGCUACAUAUUAUUCCCUUUUUUUCAGAGACAGAGAGACACCUCUUCGUACCUCAGAUCUCCAGUAUCCUGCCCUCUCUCUCUUUAUGGCCAUGUCUGAAGUUCCCCUACUACGUCUAGGCUUUAUGAGUAGUCCCUGUAUCGGUCUGCAGUUGUGCCAAAAAUACAUGCUCUUCUCUUACAGAUUACAGGCUACACAUUCAUUUAAAAACAUCUUUUUUUUUACACGCACGCACACACACCUCUUUCAAUAGUUAAAAAAAAAAACAUUUUUACAAUACACAUACCUGUCAUGUUCUUUCCUGUACUUGAAUACUUAUUAAAUUAUGUUUUCAUAGUCA